CCGAAAGAAAAACAUGUCCCACCUGAAAAUGAGAGAGAAGAAGCAUUGAACAAUGCGAAACAUUGAAGUUCGUCGAUUUUGCACUCUGAUAACCGAAGCAACCCAUAGAACCCCAACAACGAAGCCAUUCCUUCCCAUACCUCACCGAACCCUUCCCGAACCUCGAGGCCAGGAUCUGGACUUCAUCACCGUCGCUCACAGUCACGUCGUCAACUCCCACUGGGAAAAGCUACAUCCUUUGUGCCCCGUUCUCACACCCUUUCGUCUCAAACACCUCUUCCUCAACCUCCAAAACGACCACGUAUUGUCCCUCAAACUUUCCCAAUGGCUUCUCCAACACCACCCAUCCAUGCACACCCUCGAAACCCUCUCGUUCCUCCUCCACACCCUCGCCACACAUCGCCAAUUCAAAACCAUCCAAACCAUCCUCACAAAAAUCCUUUCUUCACACCCUCCCCACACCCUCUUCGACUCUCUCUUACACUCCUACCCUAUCUGCAAUGCUUCCCCUCUCGUCUUCGAUGCCCUCUUCAAAACCCUCGCCCAUGCCAGUAAAUUCCGCAGCGCCACCCUCACUUAUACCCUGAUGAAGCAACACGGCUUCUCCCUCACCGUUGAGUCCUGCAACGCCUUUUUAAGUUCUCUGCUUCGCCUCCGCAGAGCAGAUAUCGCGCUGUCGUUUUACCGGGAGAUGCGUCGCUCUUAUGUUUCGCCUAACGUCUACACUCUCAACAUGGUUAUUCGCGCUCAUUGUAUGUUGGGGGGAGUGCAGAAGGGCUUUGAGAUUUUCCAGAAGAUGGGGGACAUGGGCUUGAGUCCUAAUGUUGUGUCUUUCAAUACUUUGAUUUCGGGGUAUUGUAACAAGGGGCUGUUUGGCUUGGCGUUAAAGGUUAAAUCUUUGAUGGGGGGUCAUGGAGUGCAGGCUAAUGUGGUUACUUUUAACACUCUGAUUAAUGGGUUUUGUAAGGAGAGGAAGUUGCAUGAGGCGAAUAGGGUUUUCAAUGAGAUGAAGGUUGCCAAUGUGACCCCGAAUGUUGUAACUUACAAUACUUUGUUGCAUGGGUAUGGUCAGGUUGGAGACAGUGAAAUGGGUGGGAAAGUUUACGAGGAGAUGGUGAGGAAUGGGGUUAAGGCUGAUAUAUUAACUUAUAAUGCAUUGAUUUUGGGGCUGUGUAAGGAUGGAAAGACAAAGAAGGCUGCAGGGUUUGUAAAGGAGCUUGAUAAAGAGAACUUGGUUCCAAAUGCGAGUACUUUUUCUGCUCUUAUUACUGGACAGUGUGUGAGGAACAAUUCUGAGCGUGCCUUUCUUAUUUAUAGGAGCAUGGUGAGGAGUGGUUGUAAUCCAAAUGAGCAUACUUUUCAGAUGCUGAUAUCUGCUUUUUGCAAGAAUGAGGACUUUGAUGGGGCUGUGCAGGUUUUGAGGGACAUGCUGGGUAGAUUGAUGAGGCCAGAUUCCAGCACGUUAUCUGAGCUGUAUCAUGGACUUCACAGGUGUGGGAAAAACCAGUUGGCAUUGGCUCUGUGUAGCGAGAUAGAAGCGAGGCGACUCUUGCCGGAUGGGUUUGACAAAGAAAAAUUAUUCAUCGUCCAUCCUGAAAAUGAGACAAGUAGCUGAACUCUGGUAUUCUCCAUCAGAGAACUCUAAAGGAGCACUAGCGUUCAUUGGUGUAGCGGCACUGUUCAUGACAAUUUCUGGGCUGAUAUCAUCUUCCAUCUCCGAGCUCACUAUGUUACGCUAUUUUCCCAACUUUUUGGUGCAGGGAGUAGGAUCUGUACAGCAAGUGAAGCGUGAGCUGCUGCUGGGCCACAAGAUCAAGACUGCACUUGCUGUGAAGAGCUGGCUGACCUUUUCUGGACUGGUGAUGCGGCUGGAGCAAGCUGAAGGGGCAGGCCAAGUCAAUUUGGGCCAUGUGAGGAGCUGACUUACACUUAGAAGGCUGAACCUGAAUUAGUCUCGUAAAUUAGCAUUAGGCUGGAUUCAUUUUCUUUUCCCAUUUAAGAGCAACUUAGCUGUGUAGGGAGUACAACACCGCUAGACCCAUGUUACGACACUUUUACUUUUUUAGCAAAUUUGUGGAGAUUUCCAUCUUGUAAGGUAGAGUGCAGCCUCCAACCCUUGUGAGUGCAGAGUAACCUCAAGGGAAAGGAGUGUAAUCUGCUGUACGGUCUAGGUUUAGCGGUUUUGCUCCAAUCCUUGUGAGUGCAAAGGGAAAGGAGUAUA